rnacentral:rRNA from 1 species
GACAGAGGUGCCGAGCGUUAGGCGGAAUCACUGGGCUUAAAGCGUGUGUAGGCGGACGGGUAAGUACCUUGUGAAAUCCCACGGCUCAACCGUGGAACUGCUGGGUAUACUGCCUGUCUUGAGUCAUCUAGGGGCGAGCGGAACAAAUGGUGGAGCGGUGAAAUGCGUAGAUAUCAUUUGGAACGCCAAUGGUGAAAACAGCUCGCUGGGGAUGAUACUGACGCUGAGACACGAAAGCCAGGGGAGCAAACGGG